GCCAAUGUCCGUUGCAAUUAAUUCCCAGAGGGGGCGAGGCAGAAAGCCAGUCACCGUGAUUCUUCAUGCAGACAGCGCUUCCCAAAUGUUUCCCAGGGCAGCUUUGGACUCAAGAGAGACACCAGCGAUGGAUCUGAAAAGGGUUUAGGUGAUGUGGCUCCUCUCUGUGGCAGGAAGGAUGGAAGAAGAGGACAUCAGGCCUGACCUGGCUAGUGGACAGAAUGUGGAGGAGGAAGUUGAUUAGCACCCAAGUCAGGAGAAAAGAGGCACAGGAAAACCAAUACGCAGACCAGAUCAGCCUGGGCUCCCCACUGCUCCCAGGAAUUCCUGGGCUUCAGACGCUGGUCUCAAAACUGAUUUGGGUAUGACGGUGAUGGCUUGUGUGACAACCUUCACACUCCCUGUGACCUCCAUGUUCCAGCAUUCUGACAAGGGCUAUUGACUCCCCGAACGAUUCAGGGAAAGAAAAAGCCUCUUCCAGGGCUUCAGACUUCAGGCAUUUUUAGGAUGGACCCCAUGGGAAAUGGCUGACUCACUCAAGACUGAUCAAAGGCCCCCGUCAAGAGUUGGAUUUUGCUUCUGCCCCUGAAUGUCUGGCUGCCUAGACUCGGCUGGAGCCAGGAGGAGAGGAAUUCUGAGAGUUCAGCCACCAGAUGGACAUCACAGCGUGCGCACCACCUCGUCCACUGG
rnacentral:lncRNA from 1 species